rnacentral:rRNA from 1 species
GAUGAACGCUGGCGGCGUGCCUAAUACAUGCAAGUCGAGCGAACAGACGAGGAGCUUGCUCCUUUGACGUUAGCGGCGGACGGGUGAGUAACACGUGGGUAACCUACCUAUAAGACUGGGAUAACUUCGGGAAGCCGGAGCUAAUACCGGAUAAUAUUUCGAACCGCAUGGUUCGAUAGUGAAAGAUGGCUCUGCUAUCACUUAUAGAUGGACCUGCGCCGUAUUAGCUAGUUGGUAAGGUAACGGCUUACCAAGGCAACGAUACGUAGCCGACCUGAGAGGGUGAUCGGCCACACUGGAACUGAGACACGGUCCAGACUCCUACGGGAGGCAGCAGUAGGGAAUCUUCCGCAAUGGGCGAAAGCCUGACGGAGCAACGCCGCGUGAGUGAUGAAGGUCUUCGGAUCGUAAAACUCUGUUAUUAGGGAAGAACAAACGUGUAAGUAACUGUGCACGUCUUGACGGUACCUAAUCAGAAAGCCACGGCUAACUACGUG